AGCAGAAGAUGCUCCAACCUAAAUACUGAGAGUCUUAAAAGCCAGGCGGAAGGCAGGAGGGUGCUGGGGAAGUUCAGGCUGUCCCCAGAAGUGUCAUCUCCCGGAGCAGCAGGCGGUGGCUGGGACGGCAGCACAGAGAGACAGCCCGGCACAGGCUCCGCUCAGAGCCUCAGGAUGUGGGGAGGCUUCUACAGAUGACCAGCUUGGUGGCGUCAUCGUCCCCACCUGGAGGUGUUUCUGGGCUGGAACAGAGACACACCCCAAGACAUCCCAAGUUCCUCUCUAAGGAACAAUCUCCAGUUCCUUGGCAGGUUGCUAAUAAAUAUUUCCAGUAG
ensembl:lincRNA